AAAAAUUAGGGGUUCAUGAGGACCUUCCUCUUACCAAAGGUCCGGGAUCUGUCCCAGCUGAGAGGGCAGGAGUCAGUCUCUCACCCCCCAGCAGGAAGGUUUGGGUUUUCUGCAAUCUGGCCACAGAAGCCCUUCAAGCACUAGCCAAUGGGCCGGGACAGGCUUUUCUCUCCAAGCAGCUCAUUUGGUCACAGAGGCCAUGGGGUGGAGUUUGGGGGAAUUAAACCUUUUUGACGACCCCGUGAGACUGGCACCUCGUGGGAUACCUCCUGCUGCUGCUGCUCCCACAGCUCGAGCUCCAUCCGUGUCGAUAUUGAUUGGGAUAUUGGCCAGUUUACCCACAGAGGAGACAAGAGCAGAUCCUGUAUAUCGUUUCAUCCCGGCUUGAAACAUUUAGUGCAACAUACCUGGUUUUGGAGGUCACGAUGCUUCAUUUCACUGUUUCAUUUUCAAAUAAUGUUAAUGCCCAACCAUGGCGUUAUUUGUUGCCUGUGUACUAGAGAUGGGCACGAACCGCUGUUUUGGCGGUUGCUGCUGGUUCGUUUAUUGGCCGAAGAGGUGCUUGGCACUCCUUAGCCCCACCCACUUCUCCAGCGGGUGCCCACUUAAAGAGGCAGCAGGCCCUGGCUUCCCUGCCCUGCCUCCUCCAGACAUUGGCUGUGAGCGGGCGCCCACGGGAGGAGGAGGAGGAGGGGCAGGGCUAGGAAGCGCCAAACACCACAUGGCAGUUUGUGCCCACCUCUAAUGUGUGCUAACAAGGCAAUGUUCACGUUACAGGGCCCAUCCUUCUGGACCCCGUGGUUGGGGCUUCGUGUGUCUCCCCCAGGAGGCACUGCAGUCACGGACCGCCACCACAGCAGGGAAAGACUACAAGUCAAGGGGGAAAGAUGUCCCCACAAGCGGAGUAUUGUAUUUAAUCUUCAUCACCUUCAACAAAUCAGUAGUGCAACAGUGUAAACAGAGCCCAAGAAAACUUGAAAACUUAUUUUCUCAUCUCAAGCAAGACUAAGAGUGAUUUAAAACAAAAGGAGAGAAAACCCGUGACAGUCGGAAAAGAGUCCACCACCCCCAAACCUGCAAUCCCAGUGUUGUCUCUUGCACAAGGGACGACAACGGCCAGCCACCUCCUCGCUUUCGGGAGGAGGAAUCGGGUGGAGUCUGAAAGCGACGACGACGGAGCAGAACCCAGAGGGCUCUCCCCCCGUCGCCGAGCGAGGGCUUUCGAAAGAACAGCGUCUGGCAAGGCCCAGGUUGCCACUCUUGAGAAGAAACCCACUACGGCCCACAACAGGAGGCACGGGGAGGAGACGGCACAUGGGCCUCCGUGGCACAUGGGCCUCCGAAUGGAUUGCAGGGUGUUUGCUUUGCAGUCCCGCGACUUGCAAGGCACGGUAGUCCUUUCCACAGGGGUAGAUUUCACUCCCGGAGCAUUCAAGAACCAGCGUCUACCCUUCACAGUCUUGGUUUCACAGCUUGCUUCUUCUUCUUUUUUUUUAAAUUUCAAAAUUUCCCUUGAAGUCCAAGUUCAAGUACAGGCAGUUAGACUUGGGGGGAAUUUUUUUGUUUUUAAAGAUCAGUGGUAA
rnacentral:lncRNA from 1 species